rnacentral:rRNA from 1 species
GGGUUAAGUCCCGCAACGAGCGCAACCCUUGUCAUUAGUUGCUACAUUCAGUUGGGCACUCUAAUGAGACUGCCGGUGACAAACCGGAGGAAGGUGGGGAUGACGUCAAGUCCUCAUGGCCCUUAUAGGUGGGGCUACACACGUCAUACAAUGGCUGGUACAAAGGGUUGCCAACCCGCGAGGGGGAGCUAAUCCCAUAAAACCAGUCGUAGUCCGGAUCGCAGUCUGCAACUCGACUGCGUGAAGUCGGAAUCGCUAGUAAUCGUGGAUCAGAAUGUCACGGUGAAUACGUUCCCGGGUCUUGUACACACCGCCCGUCACACCAUGGGAGCGGGUUCUGCCAGAAGUAGUUAGCUUAACCGCAAGGAGGGCGAUUACCACGGCAGGGUUCGUGACUGGGGUGAAGUCGUAACAAGGUAGCCGUAUCGGAAGGUGCGGCUGGAUCACCUCCUUU